rnacentral:rRNA from 1 species
GACGUAGGGGGCGAGCGUUGUCCGGAAUUAUUGGGCGUAAAGCGCGCGUAGGCGGUUACUUAAGUCGGAUGUGAAAGCCCUCGGCUUAACUGAGGAAGUGCACCCGAAACUGAGUAGCUAGAGUACGAAAGAGGGUCGCGGAAUUCCCGGUGUAGAGGUGAAAUUCGUAGAUAUCGGGAGGAACACCGGUGGCGAAGGCGGCGACCUGGGUCGAGACUGACGCUGAGGCGCGAAAGCGUGGGGAGCAAACAGG